ACUCCUACGGGAGGCAGCAGUGAGGAAUAUUGGACAAUGGGUGGAAGCCUGAUCCAGCCAUCCCGCGUGCAGGAAGACGGCCCUAUGGGUUGUAAACUGCUUUUAUCUGGGGAUAAACCUACUUACGUGUAAGUAGCUGAAGGUACCAGAAGAAUAAGCACCGGCUAACUCCGUGCCAGCAGCCGCGGUAAUACGGAGGGUGCAAGCGUUAUCCGGAUUUAUUGGGUUUAAAGGGUCCGUAGGCGGACUGAUAAGUCAGUGGUGAAAUCCGACAGCUUAACUGUCGAACUGCCAUUGAUACUGUUAGUCUUGAGUAAGGUUGAAGUGGCUGGAAUAAGUAGUGUAGUGGUGAAAUGCAUAGAUAUUACUUAGAACACCAAUUGCGAAGGCAGGUCACUAAGUCUUAACUGACGCUGAUGGACGAAAGCGUAGGGAGCGAACAGGAUUAGAUACCCCUGUAGUCCCAUG
rnacentral:rRNA from 1 species